rnacentral:rRNA from 1 species
AUUGAACGCUGGCGGAAUGCUUUACACAUGCAAGUCGAACGGUAGAGGGGCAACCCUUGAGAGUGGCGAACGGGUGAGUAAUAUAUCGGAACGUGCCCAGUCGUGGGGGAUAACGUAGAGAAAUUUACGCUAAUACCGCAUACGAUCUAAGGAUGAAAGCGGGGGAUCGCAAGACCUCGCGCGAUUGGAGCGGCCGAUAUCAGAUUAGGUAGUUGGUGAGGUAAAGGCUCACCAAGCCGACGAUCUGUAGCUGGUCUGAGAGGACGACCAGCCACACUGGGACUGAGACACGGCCCAGACUCCUACGGGAGGCAGCAGUGGGGAAUUUUGGACAAUGGACGCAAGUCUGAUCCAGCCAUUCCGCGUGCAGGAUGAAGGCCUUCGG